UACGAAGGGGGCUAGCGUUGCUCGGAAUUACUGGGCGUAAAGCGCACGUAGGCGGCUUGUUAAGUCGGGGGUGAAAUCCUGGAGCUCAACUCCAGAACUGCCUUUGAUACUGGAGAGCUUGAGUCCGGAAGAGGUGAGUGGAACUCCGAGUGUAGAGGUGAAAUUCGUAGAUAUUCGGAAGAACACCAGUGGCGAAGGCGGCUCACUGGUCCGGUACUGACGCUGGGGUGCGAAAGCGUGGGGAGCAAACAGG
rnacentral:rRNA from 1 species